rnacentral:rRNA from 1 species
UACGAAGGGGGCUAGCGUUGUUCGGAAUCACUGGGCGUAAAGCGCACGCAGGCGGAUCGUUAAGUCAGGGGUGAAAUGCCGAGGCUCAACCUCGGAACUGCCUUUGAUACUGGCGAUCUUAGAGUCCGGGAGAGGUGAGUGGAACUCCGAGUGUAGAGGUGAAAUUCGUAGAUAUUCGGAAGAACACCAGUGGCGAAGGCGGCUCACGGGCCCGGUACUGACGCUCAGGUGCGAAAGCGUGGGGAGCAAACAGG